CCCUUUGGGAAAUUUUUAUUUUCUGCUUGCUUUUUCUAGUUGAAAUUCAAUUCCUGAUAUCGACUUGAGAGUGGUCUCUUUCUCUACCCUUUUCUAUCAACAGCAAUUAGAAAGAACAUUUGGACUUUAUUUUGAAAGUUUUAUACAUGUGCCUAACCACUCCAAUUCCUCAAUUUGUUGAUGCAAUGUAGGUUGAUGUUUAUAUGCAGGUGAGAUCUGGCACAAGUUAGGUCAAGGCCAUGAUUGAACAGUAAAAAAAUUAAGUAGGGACAAAGCUUUUAUAAGGUGAGAGAGAAGGGAAAGGAGAAGAAAAUCAAAAUGGAGACUGAGAAGGAUGACCCAGGUCCAAGUGGUCUUAAAUGGCCCUAGGUAGUUAUGUAUAUUUCUUAAGGGAUGGAUUUCUACAGGUCAGAUUAUCUUAUUUAGGAGGGCGGUUUAUAUCUUUAUUAUUGUUUAUUGUGUGGAUAUAUUGUAGAUUGAGAAUUUAAUAUAUAAAUCUGAUUGAUAAAUUACAGUUUACUGAGCCAUGAUUUCAAAGGGUAGUUGGGAGUUUUUACCUUAACUACCAGGGGGCAGUUGUUGGGAGUGUGGACAAAGUCCACGGCAGGGAGCCACAGUAGGCCAGCCCCAUGCUGGACUUCUAGAGCCCUGAUUUUGCUGAGUAGUUAGAACCAGAGAGUUUGUGGCUAGUAGAGAACUGCCAGGAGAGAUACUAAGCAGAGAUAAAUUAUGGUUAGUUCCGUAUGGCCACACGGUGUCAUAACUAACUCUAGGAACAGCUGGUCUAGAAACCAGCGUGGCACCACCAGCUCGAAUGGCUCAUGGACUGCCUGGGACUGAGAGUCCUUGAGGGCAGUGUAGAGCUGCUGAGAUAAAGAUACCCCACAUGCCAUGUGGGUAAACCCCGUAGUACCACUAUGGGUGCUGGUGCUAAUGUGGAAUAAAAUGUUCAAGUUUAUUUUAAGAUUUAUUGCAACAAUGUAACACCAAGAAGUUUUAUAAAAUAACAUUCUGGAUUUCACGUGUUUAGAGAUAACCAGUUAAAUUCUAGCAGCAUCCUUCUAUUUAGGGUUCUAUAAUAUGUUGGAACUAUAAUAGUAUAGCUUUAUAUUCACUUUCCACUGGUAUGCAUAGUAAUUUUUACUUAUGUUUGUCAUAUAUGAUACAUAUUUGUAUAUAGGUUUUAAUGUUAUUAUCAACACCAUUGAAGAUUUUUGCAAAUGAUCACAGAGGCACUCCAACAUGGCAUCAAUUUUUUUAACAUUGGAUUAGAGAAAAAUGAAUGACUACAUGAUAAAUCUAUCAGAUACAUGAUAGUUCUUCUUCCUGCUUUCAAAAGGAGACAGGGUUGAGGAAAAAAGAUGUGGCCCAUGUCAGAGGACUUUCUCCAUCACUAUCUUAUUUCAUGAGAUAAGGUCUCUACCUAAACUAUUUUGCAAAAUUGACUAGUGUUAAAUCACAAGGAAUCAUCAGGUCUCAGAUUUCGCUUCACUAGAUUCCCAGGUUUACAUUACCUUCAUUUUUUGAUAUGGGUAUUAGGAGUAAAACUCAGGUUAUUUUUUCCCAACAAGUAUUUUCUCAACUCUUAACUUCCUUAAAUUAUUUAAAUUUUCAUUUAUUCUUGGAUAAAUCUAUUCAUAAAAACUAUGUGUAUUGAUCAAA